AGGGCACACAAAGGAUGCCUAGGUAGUAAGAGCCGAUGAAGGACGUGGUAAGCUGCGAUAAGCCUAGAUAAGUUGCAAUCGAACGUAAGAGUCUAGGAUUUCCGAAUGGAGCAAUCUAUUAAGAUGGAGUCUUAAUACGAAAGAGGGAACCGCGUGAACUGAAACAUCUAAGUAACGCGAGGAAAAGAAAGUAAAAACGAUACCCAAAGUAGCGGCGAGCGAAAUGGGUCAAGCCUAAACCUUAAAUAUGUCAAGGAUACAGCCGUUGUAUUUAGGGGGUUGAGGGACAGAGUAGUGAAGAACUGUAAGAUAUUCAAUAUAGUGUAUUGAUGAAUUGGAAUUGUCUGGAAAGGCGAACCGUAGAAGGUGAAAGUCCUGUACAAGUAAAUCCUUACACAUAUAACUCUGCUCCCAAGUAACAUGGAACACGAGGAAUUCUGUGUGAAUCUGUGAGGACCAUAUCUCAUAAGGCUAAAUACUCUUACUAACCGAUAGCGCAUAGUACCGUGAGGGAAAGGUGAAAAGAACCCCUGGAGGGGAGUGAAAUAGAACCUGAAAUUGUGUGCUUACAAGCGGUCAGAGCCAGUGAUGGUGAUGGCGUGCCUUUUGGAGAAUGAUCCUGCGAGUUACGUUAAACGGCGAGGUUAAGUAUAACGGAGCCGAAGGGAAACCAAGUCUUAAUAGGGCGAUUUAGUCGUUUGGCGUAGACGCGAAACCUGGUGAUCUAAACCUGUCCAGGAUGAAGCUGUGGUAAGACACAGUGGAGGUCCUAACCCACCGCCGUUGAAAAGUUGGGGGAUGAGGUAGGUUUAGGGGUGAAAAGCCAAUCGAACCAGGAGAUAGCUCGUUCUCUCCGAAAUGCAUCUAGGUGCAGCCUUGAGUGUUCAAUUAUGGGGGUAGAGCACUGAAUGAUCUAGGGGGCGUAUUGCUUACUGAAAUCAAUCAAACUCCGAAUACCAUAAUUUAGAGCUCAGGAGUGAGACUAUGGGAGUUAACUUCCAUUGUCGAAAGGGAAACAACCCAGACCACCAGCUAAGGUCCCUAAUUAUAACUAAGUGGGAAAGGAGGUGGAGAUUCACAAACAACUAGGAGGUUGGCUUAGAAGCAGCCAUACCUUUAAAGAGUGCGUAAUAGCUCACUAGUCGAGAGUCUCUGCGCCGACAAUGUAACGGGGCUAAGUUAUAAACCGAAGCUGUGGAAUCCUUUUGGAUUGGUAGGAGAGCGUUCUGUAGGCCGUUGAAGAAGAAGGGUAACCAACUUUGGAGGUAUCAGAAGUGAGAAUGCAGGAAUAAGUAGCGAGAAAGGGGGCGAGAAUCCCCCUCGCCGGAAGACCAAGGUUUUCAGGGUAAAGCUUGUCUUCCCUGAGUAAGCCGGGACCUAAGCCCAGGCUAUAAUGCGUAGGCGAAUGGAAAACAGAUUAAUAUUUCUGUGCCAGUCAUUUAUUGUGAUGGAGGGACGCAGAAGGGUAUGCGCGCGGACGAACGGAAGUGUCCGUAGAAGUAUGUAGGAUGACUUGAUAGGAAAAUCCAUUGAGUUAUAUCUGAGGUAUGAUAUACAGUCGUAAGAUGAAUGCGCAAAUCCCACGCUGCCAAGAAAAGCUUCUAACGUUAAUAUUUGACUGCCCGUACUGCAAACCGACACAGGUGGUCAGGAUGAGAAAUCUAAGGCGGACAGGCUAACUCUCGUUAAGGAACUCUGCAAAAUAACCUCGUAACUUCGGGAGAAGAGGAGCCCUUGAGGGUCAGUAUCCACGCGAUACAAAGCGCUCGAGGGUCGCAGUGAAGAGGCUCAAGCAACUGUUUAACAAAAACACAGGUCUAUGCUAAGCUGGAAGGCGAUGUAUAUGGGCUGACACCUGCCCAGUGCUGGAAGGUUAAGAGGAGGAGUGAGAGCUCCGAAUUGAAGCCCCAGUGAACGGCGGCCGUAACUAUAACGGUCCUAAGGUAGCGAAAUUCCUUGUCGGGUAAGUUCCGACCUGCACGAAUGGUGUAAUGAUUUGAGCGCUGUCUUGACGGGAGGCCUGGUGAAAUUGUAUUACCGGUGAAGAUACCGGUUACCUACAGUAGGACGGAAAGACCCCAUGGAGCUUUACUGUAGCUUGGUAUUGGGUUUUGGCAUUGCAUGUAUAGGAUAGUUGGGAGACUAUGAUGAUAUGGCGCUAGCUGUAUCGGAGUCAUCGGUGGAAUACCAACCAUUCAAUGCUGAAAUUCUAAUCUGUGGUUUGUAGCCACGGAGACAGUGCUAGGUGGGCAGUUUGACUGGGGCGGUCGCCUCCCAAAGAGUAACGGAGGCGUUCAAAGG
rnacentral:rRNA from 1 species